UACCUGGUUGAUCCUGCCAGUAGUCAUAUGCUUGUCUCAAAGACUAAGGCAUGCAUGUCUAAGUAUAAGUAUUAUACAGCGAAACUGCGAAUGGCUCAUUAAAACAGUAAUAGUUUAUUUGACAAUCUAACUUAUAUGGAUACCCGUAGUAAUUCUAGAGCUAAUACAUGCUGUACUCCCGACUUCUUGGAAGGGAGGUAUUUAUUAGAUAAUAACCAAUAUUCCUUCGGGUCUAUCGUGGUGAAUCAUAAUAACUGAUCGAAUCGCACGGCCCUUGCCGCGAUAAGUCAUUCAAGUUUCUGCCCCAUCAGCCUUAGAUGGUAGUGUAUUGGACUACCAUGGCGUUCACGGGUAACGGAGGAUUAGGGUUCGAUUCCGGAGAGGGAGCCUGAGAAACGGCUACCACAUCCAAGGAAGGCAGCAGCCGCGUAAAUUACCCAAUCCUGACUCAGGGAGGUAGUGACAAGAAAUAACAAGCGGUAGCCUAGCUACUGAAUUGCAAUGAGCCGAAUUUACACCACUUAGUGAGGACCAAUUGGAGGGCAAGUCUGGUGCCAGCAGCCGCGGUAAUUCCAGCUCCAAUAGC
rnacentral:rRNA from 1 species